rnacentral:rRNA from 1 species
GUUUGAUCCUGGCUCAGGACGAACGCUGGCGGCGCGCUUAACACAUGCAAGUCGAGCGAGAACCUGGCCUUCGGGCCUGGGGAAAGCGGCGAACGGGUGAGUAACACGUGGGUAACCCACCCUUGGUACCGGGAUAGCCCGAGGAAACUCGGAUUAAUACCGGAUGGCCCAACAGCUCUUCGGGGCGGUUGGAAAAGGUAGCUUCGGCCUCCGACCAAGGACGGGCCCGCGGCGGAUUAGCUUGUUGGUGAGGUAACGGCUCACCAAGGCGACGAUCCGUAGCUGGUCUGAGAGGACGAUCAGCCACACUGGGACUGAGACACGGCCCAGACUCCUACGGGAGGCAGCAGUGGGGAAUCUUGCGCAAUGGGCGAAAGCCUGACGCAGCGACGCCGCGUGGGGGAAGAAGGCUUUCGGGUUGUAAACCCCUUUCAGGAAGGACGAAGCCACUCGGGUGAAUAGCCCAGAGGGUGACGGUACUUCCAGAAGAAGCCCCGGCUAACUACGUGCCAGCAGCCGCGGUAAUACGUAGGGGGCAAGCGUUGUCCGGAUUUAUUGGGCGUAAAGAGCGUGUAGGCGGUCAGGUAGGUCCGUUGUGAAAACUCGAGGCUCAACCUCGAGACGCCGAUGGAAACCAUCUGACUAGAGUCCGGAAGAGGAGAGUGGAAUUCCUGGUGUAGCGGUGAAAUGCGCAGAUAUCAGGAAGAACACCCGUGGCUAAGGCGGCUCUCUAGUACGGUACUGACGCUGAGACGCGAAAGCGUGGGGAGCGAACAGGAUUAGAUACCCUGGUAGUCCACGCCGUAAACGAUGGGUGCUAGGUGUAGGGGGUGUCGACUCCCUCUGUGCCG